GCACCUGAAAAGCGAUAAGAUUACGUUAGAGCAGGACGAGAAGUAGACGGAACGACAUGGCGUCGACUCUGUCACUUACUCAGGCUCUUCUCUUCACCACUGCUUCAAAUCUUCUACGCAGAAACUGUCUUAGAACCUCUGUCCUCUAUGCAUCUUUCUCCUCCUCCUCAGCUAUUUCCUCCGAUAGCCUUCACCGGAAGAAAUGGACGCAGCCUGUCUCUUCACUUCUUGAGCUCGGUGGAGUUGCAAUUACGAAAGAUGAUGUUGUGAGGGAUGAUCCUACGAACAAUGUCCCAGAUAAUAUUUUUUCAAAACUUGGUAUGCAACUACAUCGAAGAGAUAACCAUCCACUUGGCAUUCUGAAGAAUGAGAUAUACAACUAUUUUGAUACAAAUUACUCAAAUAAGUUCAUUAAGUUUGAUGACCUCAGUCCAAUUGUUUCCGUGAAGGAGAACUUUGAUGAUGUGUUAGUUCCAGAAGAUCAUGUAAGCCGCAGUUAUAAUGAUACAUAUUACAUUGACUCACAAACUGUUCUGAGAUGUCAUACAAGUGCACAUCAAGCAGAGCUGUUGAGAAGAGGCUAUACUCAGUUUCUUGUAACGGGAGAUGUUUACCGUCGGGAUUCCAUUGAUUCAACUCAUUACCCUGUGUUUCAUCAGAUGGAAGCUGUCCGUGUCUUUUCUCUCGAUGAUUUGGAGGUAUCUGGUACAGAUGGAACUUCUUAUGCCGCUGAUGACCUGAAGAAAUGCUUGGAAGGUUUGGCAAGGCAUUUGUUUGGUGCUGUGGAAAUGCGCUGGGUUGAUGCAUAUUUCCCAUUUACGGACCCAUCAUUCGAACUUGAGAUUUUCUUUCAAGAGAAAUGGCUGGAAGUAUUGGGAUGUGGGGUGAUGGAGCAAAAAAUAUUGAAAAAAUGCGGCAAAGAGAAUCAUGUUUCAUGGGCUUUUGGUCUCGGUUUGGAAAGACUAGCCAUGGUUCUUUUUGGUAUACCCGAUGUCCGAUUAUUUUGGUCAGCUGAUGAGCGAUUUACCUCACAGUUCUCAAAGGGCAAGCUAGGUGUUAAAUUUAAACCAUUUUCUAAGUUUCCACCUUGCUACAAGGAUAUUAGUUUUUGGAUCAAUGAAUCUUUCACCGAGAAUAAUCUGUGUGAAGUUGUGAGAGGAAUUGCCGGGGACCUUGUUGAAGAGGUGCAACUGAUAGACAGUUUUACCAAUGAGAAGAAAGGGACGACGAGUCACUGUUAUAGGAUUGCUUACCGAUCUAUGGAACGGUCACUCACAGAUGAAGAAAUCAAUGAUUUGCAGACGAACGUGAGAGAGCAGGUUCAGAGCAAGUUGAAUGUUGUCUUGAGAUAAACAUCGAAAAUGCAACAAUUUCAGUCGAUGCCAUACAGGAAUACAGUUCUCCUAUUGAUGUUUGUUUCGUGGAACCAAGAAAUCAGAAGCACAUUUGACGUUUGGUAUCUUUCUUUUAUUUGGGAAUUGGAAACGGCCUCAAUUGGCAUCCUUUCAACAUUUCCACGCCAGAAUACAUGGAGUAACAAAUAACUUAAUUGAAGAUCAAAUGCACAAAAUAGUUAAUUCAUAGUCCAAGUUUGGGCCAGAAUACAUGGAGUAAAGAAUUGGGUGGUGAGAUGUGACGAGACGAGGCAGAGAGGAGAGAUGGGUCUGCGGCUGUGGUAGGAUAGUUUUUUUUCUCUCUUUUAUAUGUAUUGCAAAUUUAGUUUACACUUGCAGGCGGAGUGGGGAGGGGACUAUAGAUUUGUAAAUGGGAAGAAAGGAAUUACACUCUCCCAUUGGGGAUUUCCGGCUCUGUUGCGUUGGACGCAUCCAACAGGUUAAAUGGACUCAUCUAAUUAGAUUU